rnacentral:misc_RNA from 1 species
UUUCCGUAGGUGAACCUGCGGAAGGAUCAUUACAGAGCUAAAGAGCGAAAGGGAAGAUCCCGGACCGUUGUGUACUACUUCUUUGUUGUUUUGGCGAGCGCAAGCUCGCUAGGGAAUGCAAAAAGUCUUUUUUUUAAUGUCGUCUGAGUUAUAUAUAAUAGCUAAUACUUUCAAAAACGGAACUCUUGGUUCAGGCAUCGAUGAAGAACGAAGCAGAUAGAAAGAGCACACGUCUGAAACGAAGUCAGGCAUAACCACCCAGACUGCCUUAUUAUGCUU